UGAACCAAGGAUUGCAAAUCGCAAUUUUCGUAUUUGUUUUUAGAAAUUUACCAAUUGUGUGAAUGUGUAUACGUCGUUAGAAUUUAUCGAUUGUUUAAAAAUUUGUCGCCAUUGCGUUAUUUCAUCGUUAUUCUAAUUAGUUCAAUUAUCUAGGAAGACAAUCCACCCGCCAUAGCAUCUUCACUGUUGGUAAUUCGUGGCUUAGAAUGUUCGUUCUUGAUUUCAGUGUUCUGUGGUGAAUAUUAAAACGAUAAGUAUGGCAGGGUCGGAAUUCGCGUCCGUGCAAGAUGAAGUUAAUUACUGGAGGGACAGAUGCGAAGAAACGGAACGAGAGUACGAAGAAUUUCGACAAAACUCGCAUUUGUUAGAAAAAGAAUUAGAAAUAUCGUUGGAACAAGCGGAAAAAGCUAAUCGCGAGUUGAAAACUAGAAAUAAUCAUUUAGUAUUAGAAAAUGAAACGCUUAAGAAAAAUUAUCAUCAAGAACGCGAAGAACUCGUUAAACAGAUCGCUGAAUUACAAGAAGAAAGUAAAAGAUGUCAUUCUCGCGAAGAAGAUUACGUUAAAUAUAUACGUUCUUUAGAACAGAAAAACGAUGAUUUAGAACGUUCCCAAAGAGUAACUUACGAAUCAUUAGCGGAAUUCGAAUUGAAACUCAAUUCGGCCAUCGAAAGAAACGUUUUACUAGAAUCCGAACUAGACGAAAAGGAGAACUUGAAAGCUACCGUUCAGCGGCUUAAAGAUGAAACUCGAGAUUUAAGACAAGAGAUUCAAGUACGAGAAAAGGAACUCCGUCCGGAUAACGAUAAAGCCACGGCCACUCGAAGAUGCAGUAGUUUUCGCGUAUCGAGUUCUACGCCUCCUUCGAACGAUAUUCCAAGCAAGAGAACGCCUCUGAGUAGUGAUCCGUCUAAGCCUCAUACUCAUAUCAAAAGUCUUGCUACUUAUAACGACUCUGGAUUGUGUAUUACUUGUUGUUUAUCUGGUGGACACUCGGUAUUGACGACACCAACGCGAGUUUCAGCAAUGAAUAUCGUUGGCGAUUUGUUGAGGAAAGUUGGCCUUGAGAAAUGGUUGUGCUCCGAAUGUUCCCGAAUCAAGUGCAUUUGCCCCACCGCUCGAAAACCAUUUCCAUUGCCUACUCCUAUAACUAAAAGAAAAUUCUGAUUGCCAGUAUUUUUCGUUGUACUGUUUACAUUCCAUGUUUCCUUUUUUUUUUUUUUUUUGUUUAUUAUUUGUUUAUUGUUGUUUUUUUUUAUUAAUCGUUUACCGAAUAACUUUUUGUAACUUCGAGGUAUUUUUUUUCAUGUGCUUUAAGAUGCAUAUUGCAUGUUAGUAUUUUUUUUCUCUCCUUUGUUCUUUUGUUUUUAUUGUAAAAGCUUUUUAUUUUUUUCCUUUUUUUUUUUUUUUGUUUUUAAUGGUUUGGCGAAUUGGCCAAUGUUGUUGGCUAAUUAUUGUUCGUAGAACUUUGAGGAAAGUUGUACGUUUUUUUGUUUUUUUUUUUUCUUUAAUUCGAGUCUUCCAUUAUGUAUUAUUUUGAGUUCAGUAUUAUUAUAUUUUCGACUCGCGGAAUUUGAUCCGAUGAGCUGCGUUAAGAUGCGGAUGCGUUUUUGUAGAAAGUUAGUGCAUUUUGUCGAAGAAAUCCUGUCGUUGGCGUUGUCAGUUGUGUGAGCUGCUAAGUCGAAUAGUUGAAGGUUCUGCGGGGGGGGGGGGUCGGAUUUUCCAGAAUGACGUAAAAUUUGAAAAAUCGUCUUGGGUGAACAUCGAGGAAAAAAUUUGACCGUCCUCGUAGAAGCCCUAUUUGAAGAGAAGAGGAGAAAACUGAAGGUCCCAAAAUUCAAACUGCAACAGAAAGAAAAAAGUUAUGCUGAAAUUUUGGUCUUGAUGACGUUUGACGUUUUUGACCCCAAGAAAUUUGAAAAAUCGUGAGAGGUGAACAUGGAAAAAUAAUUUUGACCUCGUAGAAGCCUGUUUUGAGGGGGGGGGGGGGAGAGCUGAUAUGAGGGUCCCAAAAUUGAGACCAUAAAAGAACGAAAAAAAAAAAUGACUUUUGCAGAAGUUCUGGCCUUGUUUAUUAUUUUGACCCGGAGACUUAGAAACUAGUCUGAGGUGCCCCCGAAUAUCAAAUUUGACUUCUUGGAAGCCUAUUUUUGGCAAGGGUGUAGAGGGGGGGGGGAGUGCUUAGGUACUCGAAGUUGAAAUCAAAUUUCUUAAAAGACUCCAAAAUUUGAAAAAUUAUGUUUGCAGUGAACAUCGAGGAUUAAUUUUGACUUCGUAGAAGCCUAAUUUUUUUUGAAGGGGGGGGGGGGUGCUGAUGUACUGGAAAUUGAAAUCAAGAUUUUAAAAACUGAUUUAUUGAUGAAUUGUGAUUUUUUCAACUCCAAAGUUUGAAAACUUGUGUGAAGUGAACGUCGAGGGUGAAUUUUGACUUCAUAGAAGCCUAAUUUUUAUGAGGGGGGGGGGGGAGAUACUCAGAUGUCUAAAAUUGUAAUCGAUUUUUUUUAAAUGAAUGAUACUUACUUAAAUUGCGAUUUUUUUCAUGGUUUUGACCCCAAUUUGAAAUUGGAUUGAGGUGACGUGAACAUCGAGGAUCAAUUUUGGCUCCAGAUCAAUUUCGACUUCAUGAAAGCCUAAUUUUUUGAGGGGGGAAGGGGUGUUUAGGUACUCAAAAUUUAAAUCAAGAUUUUUUUCUCUAAAAUUUGAAAACUUGUGUGAAGUGAACAUCAAGGAUGAAUUUUGACUUCAUGGAAGCCUAAUUCUUUUUUUGGUGGGGGGGGAGGUUGUAAUCAGUUUUUAAAAAAUGAUUAAUACUUGAAAUGUGAUUUUUUUUACUGUUGUGACCCCAAUUUCAAACUGGUUUGAGGUGACGUGAACAUCGAGGAUCAAUUUUGACUCCAUUGGUGGCAAUUUUGACGGAAAAAGAAGCCUAAGAUUCCAAAAUUGAGACUAGAAAAAAAUCAUUUUUUGCAGAAAUUUUGGUCUGGUUGACUUUUUUGACCAUAAAAUUUGAAAAUUCUUGGGAGGUGGCCACCAAGGAUCAAUUUUGACUCCAUAGAGCCCAUUUUGUGGAACGAGGAAGGUGAAGGUUUCAAAAUUGAGAUCACAAACAAAAGGAAGAAAAUCAGUUUUGAGGAAAUUCUGGUCCUGUUGACGAGGCAAGGGGAAAAGUAAGGUCUGCAAAAUUGAGAUCAAAAUGAAAAAGAAAAAUCAUUUAUGCAUAAACUCUGACCUCGUUGAUGUUUUUGAUCCUAAAACUUUGAGACUCGUGUUAGAUGAGCAUCAAUGACCAAUUUUGACUACGCAGAAGCUCACCUAGGGGGAAGGGGGGGAAGGUAAAAGGGUCCAAAAUUCAGAUCAAAAAUCAAAAUGGGAAAAAAUUUUUUUUGCAUAAAUUCUGACCUUAUGUUGAAUUUUUUGGGCUCAAAAAAUUUAAGAACUCGUGUGAAGUGAACAUUCACAAUUAAUUUUAAGGAAAAAGCUUGCCCCCCCCAAAAAAAAAUUGGGACUGAAAUUGAAAAAGAAAUCAUUUGUGUGUAAAUUCUAGUUUUGUUGACUUUUUUGACCACUAAACUGAAAAAUCGUAUGAAUUGAAGAUCAAGGAACAUUUCAAGGAGAUCCAUUUGGUGAAAAAAAGGAGGGAACUAGGACCCCUAAAAUUCAGACCAAAAUAGAAAAAAAAAUAAUUUGUGAACGCUGAAAAAAAAUGUUGUGCCAUAAACGUCGUCCAGUUGUGAAGAGAAGGGGCAAGCAUAGGCCUUCAAAAUUGGGACUAAAGUGGAAAAAAAAUCAUGUGUGUAUAAAUUCUGGUCUUUUUGACUUUUUUCCACCUAAAUCUUGAAAAAUCCUGUAAAUUGAUGAUUGAAGAACAAUUUUGACUACGCAGAAGCCCAUCUAGGGAGAAGGGGGAAGGUAAAAGGUCCAAAAUUCAGAUCAAAAUGAAAAACCUUGGGCCCUCCGAAUUGGGACUAAAAUUGAAAAAAAAUCAUCUGUUUAUAAUUUCUAGUCUUUUUGACUUUUUUCACCCUAAAUCUUGGACAAUUCGUGUAAAUUAAUGAUUGAAGAACGAUUUCGACUUCAAAAGAGGUCCAUUUGGGGGGAAAAAGAAGAAAGCUGAGGGCCUUGAAAUUGAGACCAAAAUAGAAAAAAAGUAAUUCAUUUGGAAGUUCUAUUUUUUUUCAAAUGAUUUCUGUGACAUCAGAACUUGAAAAUUCCUGUUGAACAUUGAGAAAUAAUUUUGACUUCGUAGAAACCAAUUUGUAAGGGAAGGGAGGCUCGCGUGCCUCAAUUUUUUGUUUUUUUGAUAAAACAUUGAAAUUAAAUCACAUUGUGAUACAAGAUGAAAAGAGAAGAAAAUGGGGGGGGGGGGCUUGAAUCUUUCGUCCUUGCCAAAAAUACUGAAAUUCAGUAUUUCAAUCAUUUUUCUUUUUCUAAAUUUUGCAAUCACCUUUACUGACUUUUUUGGCUCCAGAAUGAGAAAAUCCUCAAUAAAUGAACCUCAGAGUAUAAUUGUGGACUCGUGGAAGCUCUUUCAGAGGGAAAGGGAGGGUGGAAAAACCUUUCAGAAUUUUUUCAAAACAGUGAAAAUUCGUCCACCAAUUUUUGAAGUAUCUUUUCGACGAAAAUUAUUUACAAAUUCUUCAAUCGUGUUUAAGUUAUGACUUAUCUGAGUCUUGGGAUCAAAUUGAGAGACGAUAAGAAUGGGUUAAAUAUCACUAAAAUGUUGAAAAAUGAAUGUUUUACUCAUUUUCCCACCGUUUUGUCAUCGCAUUGGCCGAAUUUAUUGACCUCAAGAUGAGAAAAUUCAUGAAAAUCCAUCUUUCGAAGAUAACUUUGAUCGUAUGGGUGUUUUGGUGGGAGGGGGAGGGGGGUCUAGCUAGAUAUGCUCCUCGCCCCGUCCAAAAGCAGUAAAAUGCAUCUUCCUAUAAUGGAAGGAUUUUUUUUAAUAAACUGAGAGUUGAAGUGAAAUAAUAUUUUAGUCAUUGUCUAACUCACGAGGGUCGAGGGUUUUGAAAAGUUGAAAUGGUCUGAGGGGGUGGAGAAGGGUGUUGAAUGUAUCUAAAAUGUUGAUAGCCAAUAUUUUUCCUUCGUUUUUGAACAUAUUCUUCACUACUUCGAUUUUUUUCAAUCCUAUUGCUGAAAAAUGAACCUCACAGAGUAAUUUUUUUACUUUUGAAAUAAUUUAAGCCCUCAACCCUCCCCUCUCCCCUCGCCUCUCCUCCAAUUCCCCCCCCCCCCCCCCCAAAAAAACGACGCUAACGCAGGAGAUCACUUCGAGUAGCAUUUUUUUUUCGGCUGAAAUUUUGCAUUUUUCAACAAAUCUUUCUUCAUCAAAGAGAAACUUUGGUUCAAACACAAAUCGUGACAUAUUGUCGAUAAACGAUUUAGCAUUUUCAAUUACCUGUGUAUUUUAUUUUGUGUAUUUUUUCGAUCUUCUCGUGCGAAUCAAAACUUAGAUUUAUAAGCGCUAAUUUACGUGUAAGCUUUAUUAUAACCUAUCGUAUGUGUUUUUACUCGUACUUUUAAAAGUCGAAAAAUGAGGUUGUUUUUGUCGAAACGAACGCUCGCUGAUCGAAGCGUGAAAGUUAUAAUUUUUUUAAAAUGAAAAUUCUACUAGUCAUGUUUAAUAUUCGUGUUUUAUGUGCAUUAUGAUUUUUCAAGGUAAAUUGAAAUAUGUUUUAAAACGCAUUUUUAAUUAUUUUACACGUUCGUAUAAUAUAGUAUUGUAGUAUUGUCGUUUUAACAAUAUAUAGGAUAAAAUUAAUAAUAUUAUAGUAAUUGUACGAUUUACUAAACUAGUCGAUAGAGUAUAUUUUUUUGUCUUAUUUUUAUGCUAUCGCUUAAUAAUAAUAAUAAUAAUAAUAAUAAUACGUAUAUUUUAUGUAAUGGAGUGAGCCCGGUGAUUGAUUAUGUUCUAAGAGAGAGAAAGAGUUUUAAAAGUUCUUGCAGUAUAAUAAAUUGAUCGAAUGGGAGAUGUUGAUUAUGUUGUACGUAUACAAACCUACUAAUGACUUGCCUAACAUAGAGGAAGUAUCCGAAAGUAUUUUUGUAGCAUUUGUGAUUUGUUUACCACACACAAAAGUCUCGAUACUCGCAAUUAUUGAUGUUAACAUUUAUUAGGAAUAGAGAUGUACGAUUAGGUAUACCUAUUUAAUAAGUAUGUGUAAUUUUAUUUUAACCGUUCUUCUUAAUUGCUGUAUUAUCCUUCGGCGAGAGUGGUGGGGAGGAGGCUUAAUACUGUCCGAAGACGCUUUGACACACCAAAGGCGUUAGAAUCGAAACUGGCAAGUUGUCGUAUGUCUCCAGCUGAUAAUACGCGUGAAUCGUUCAGAGGACGAAGCAGACUUAACAGGGGUGUUUCUACGCCAUCAAUUCAUAACUUGGUACGUUCCUAAAUAACAUUAUGGUUUCACUGGUUAUCGUCACGAUCAAUGCUGCGAGUUGUCGAAGGAAAUUUUAUGUUAUUUGAUUAUAAAAAUGUUGUAUAGUA